CAGGGCCCCGUUGCAUAAAACUUUUGCCAGACUUAUUUUUGCCAUAGUUUUUCUAUGGCAAAAACCUUAGUUUUUUGCCAGAGUUUCAAAUUCGGUCAAAAUUUCAUGGCAAAAAAACUCUGGCAAACUUUUGCCAGAGUUUUUUAAUUUGCCAGAGUUUUUUAAGACUGAAUAAACUUGGACGAGGAUGAACGCCGAUAUCAGCCGAUAUUGCGAUCGGUAUCUGCAGCUGCUGAAAAAAUCUUGGAGACUCCACAAAACCUUAAAUUGUUGAGGUAUAUACACAGGAGCAACUCACGUGCAUGUGUGACCUUUUUGAGAAGAAACCACGCAAGACUGUUGGUUAGCAAUCACCAUGUAAAAGGGUUUGCAGAAACCAGACAGAGGGCCUGGGUGGAGAUGCUAUUGGCUGCCUAGGUCGGACUGCCUCCAACCUGAGGUGGUCUUGGAGUGAU